GACCUGCGGAGGAUCAUUAUCGUGGGGCUUCGGCCCCGUCGAGAAAGCACCCUUGCCUUUACCGUACCAUGGGAUCGACCCCCUCCGGUUCUCCGGGGUGUGGGGCGACCCUGCCCAUUUUCCUCGGCUGGUUCCCCAGCCAGGGGCGACCCUUUGAGGAAGACCAAACACGCUGCAACCACCUGUAACCGCCUGAUAAAACAAACAAAAAUCAAAACUUUCAACAACGGAUCUCUUGGUUCUGGCAUCGAUGAAGAACGCAGCGAAAUGCGAUAAGUAGUGUGAAUUGCAGAAUUCAGUGAAUCAUCGAAUCUUUGAACGCACAUUGCGCCCUUUGGUAUUCCUUAGGGCAUGCCUGUUCGAGCGUCAUCUACACCUUCAAGCCCUGCUUGGUGUUGGGUGCCUGUCCCGCCCCGCGCGCGGACUCACCUCAAAUCCAUUGGCGGCCCCCACGUCGGCUCCGAGCGCAGCAGAAACGCGAACUCGUGGGCCCGGCGGGGUGGCUCCCAGAAGCACAUCCACCUUUUGACCUCGGAUCAGGUAGGGAUACCCGCUGAACUUAAGCAUAUCAAUAAGCGGAGGA
rnacentral:rRNA from 1 species